rnacentral:rRNA from 1 species
UACGUAGGGUGCGAGCGUUAAUCGGAAUUACUGGGCGUAAAGCGUGCGCAGGCGGUUUUGUAAGACAGAGGUGAAAUCCCCGGGCUUAACCUGGGAACUGCCUUUGUGACUGCAAGGCUUGAGUGCGGCAGAGGGGGAUGGAAUUCCGCGUGUAGCAGUGAAAUGCGUAGAUAUGCGGAGGAACACCGAUGGCGAAGGCAAUCCCCUGGGCCUGCACUGACGCUGAGGGACGAAAGCUAGGGGAGCGAACGGG